ACAUCCAGAGAACUUGGCAGAGAUGCCUUGGUGCCUUCGGGACCUCUGAGACAGGUGCUGCAUGGCUGUCGUCAGCUCGUGUUGUGAAAUGUUGGGUUAAGUCCCGNAACGAGCGCAACCCCUAUCCUUUGUUGCCAGCGAUCCGGUCGGGAACUCAAAGGAGACUGCCGGUGAUAAACCGGAGGAAGGUGGGGAUGACGUCAAGUCAUCAUGGCCCUUACGAGUAGGGCUACACACGUGCUACAAUGGCGCAUACAAAGAGAAGCGACCUCGCGAGAGCAAGCGGACCUCAUAAAGUGCGUCGUAGUCCGGAUCGGAGUCUGCAACUCGACUCCGUGAAGUCGGAAUCGCUAGUAAUCGUAGAUCAGAAUGCUACGGUGAAUACGUUCCCGGGCCUUGUACACACCGCCCGUCACACCAUGGGAGUGGGUUGCAAAAGAAGUAGAUAGCUUAACCUUCGGGAGGGCGUUUACCACUUUGUGAUUCAUGACUGGGGUGAAGUCGUAACAAGGUAAGCGUAGCGAG
rnacentral:rRNA from 1 species